GUUCAGAGCCUCGGAGGCUGGGCGGUGCGUGCUCCUCCCGAGUUCCUCGUGCGAGCCGCCUCUCAGCCCUCCAUCUUCCCAGGACUUUUACGAGAGCUAGCCUGCGCUCCUGGCUGAGGAAGGAGAGCGGGUUUCAGAGUCCUGUGGGGGAGCUUUGCCUCCACCCCCCAGCUGAGACAAAUGGUACGCCCCAAGCGGGCCGGGGGCCCAAUUAGUUGUUUGGGGUGACUUGGGUCGGUCCCAGAGCGGCGGCGCAUGCGCCUGGAGACCUGGUAGUCUGUCCAGAGCUGGGUGGAGCGUUUCCAAACCCGGAAGUUGCCUAGGUGUCCUGCGUUCACCGCUGGCCGUCUGGGUCUUCAAGGCCACUGUUCUCGCGCCCCUGAUGAGUGCCGCGAAGCGUUCCUCCCCAAACUGCCAGCCGCCGGAGAAUCUCGCUUCCCAUUUCCCCUACUCCCAACCCACUCAGACAGUUCCCCCGGAAAAGUGGCCUCCGUCCUGCCAUAAAUGAAUUUCAGGAACAUCUCUAGAUAGCAAGUCGUGGGGCAGAAGGAACUUGCCCAAGUGUUUCACCCCUCUGAUGUCCUCAGUUGGAGUACCCCAGGUCCACUCCCACUAUCUUGAUUUGGAAAACCUCCCUGGGGUAAAUAUGGUUGGUUUGGGGGAGAAGAUUUAACUUGAUCCCUACUGGACAUUAAUAAGUGGCCAAACUUGAGCCGUUGAAAGAAUUCUUUAAUAUUCCUUACCACAGUCCUAAAUUCUUUCUGUUCUCCAGUCAGCGGUGACCAGAAUAGUCCACUAGCGAUCACUAAUUUGAACACAAAAGAAACGUCCACCAGAACUCUUGGAGAAGUGACCUGACCUUAAGGGGUUUGGAGCCAACUUAAAAGUCCAGAACUUACGGGAAGGCUACCAUGUACCCUCUCAACUCCAAGGGAACCCAGCCCCAGAGAAUAUUACUUAGACUAACUUUAU
rnacentral:lncRNA from 1 species